rfam:Chloroflexi bacterium GWC2_73_18 gwc2_scaffold_2298, whole genome shotgun sequence.
GGGGCUGUAGUUCAGCUGGGAGAAUGCCUGCAUGGCAUGCAGGAGGUCGGGGGUUCGAGUCCCCCCAGCUCCN